rnacentral:rRNA from 1 species
GAUGAACGCUAGCGGCAGGCCUAACACAUGCAAGUCGAGGGGUAACAUAGGAAAGCUUGCUUUUCUGAUGACGACCGGCGCACGGGUGCGUAACGCGUAUACAACCUACCCUUUAGUGGGGAAUAGCCCAGGGAAACUUGGAUUAAUGCCCCAUAGUAUAUAGACUUCUCCUGAAGUUUAUAUUAAACAUUUAUGGCUAUUAGAUGGGUAUGCGUCCUAUUAGUUAGUUGGUAAGGUAACGGCUUACCAAGGCAGCGAUAGGUAGGGGUCCUGAGAGGGAGAUCCCCACACUGGUACUGAGACACGGACCAGACUCCUACGGGAGGCAGCAGUGAGGAAUAUUGGACAAUGGGCGAGAGCCUGAUCCAGCCAUGCCGCGUGCAGGAAGACUGCCCUAUGGGUUGUAAACUGCUUUUACAGAGGAAGAACCACCCCCACGUGUGGGGGUUUGACGGUACUCUGCGAAUAAGGAUCGGCUAACUCCGUG